AAGCUCGUAGUUGAAUUUCGGGGUUAGUAGGUUGGUCAUGCCUCUGGUAUGUACUGAUCUCACUGACUCCUCCUUCCUUAUGAACCGUAAUGCCAUUAAUUUGGUGUUGCGGGGAAUUUGGACUGUUACUUUGAAAAAAUUAGAGUGUUUAAAGCAGGCUAACGCUUGAAUACAUUAGCAUGGAAUAAUGAAAUAGGACGUUCGAUCUUAUUUUGUUUGGUUUCUAGGAUUGACGUAAUGAUUAAUAGGGAUAGUUGGG
rnacentral:rRNA from 1 species